UUUCAAAAGACAAACUAUUUUCCUUAACUUAUUGAAUUACUCCUAAGGCUAGUCCCAACAAUUUGAGCAAAGAACACUAGGGCACUGAUUGGCCAUUGUAAAGCCACAGUCCCAAGGAUGAUUUUGUUGAGCUUUAGCAUUACAAACAUGAUACUAAUCACAUGAAAUAACCAAAUACUUCUGACCCAAACACUUUGAGUUUCACGAACUGCAAUUACCAGUCAUUACCCAUAAACAAUUUGCUCAAUAAUCUUAAUUCACCAUGAUUCAACACAUUUGGACAACAUUAAGUAGUUCAGGCUAACUUUGGGAGAUUUUCAAAAGACCAAACUUAUAGCAAAAACUCUCAUCUGAAACUCUAUUAUUCUGAGAGAAAAAAAUCUCAAAAUAUAUCACAAGCAAAAGGACCUACACCAAGUUUCAAGUAAACAUAGAGGCAAAUCUUGAACAUGAUUACUAAGAUACUAAUGAAACCUAAUAUAAAAGUUUUGUGAUCCACAUUUACCUACUUCUAACUCAUCACGAUGGAAUCAAAGACUAAUUACAACCAGAACAGUUUCACCCAUUUGAACACAUCAAUCUCAGUCAAAAAUUAAGUAAAAAUAUACUACUCCAGAUUAUGUUUACAUGUAUCAUUUCAAGGAGAAGAGAAUCUUAUUAACCUUUACAAUUCAAGGAUAAGCCUUGAAUACAACUUUCAAUUAACAAGACUUCAACUUGGUUACAUGCUCAAGGAUCAUCUUUCAGUCAAGAGCUAAGAAAGUACGUGGAGAUUUAGAGAAACAGGAAUUAAGGGUUAGCAGUGGCAACAAGCAGAGAUCAGUAACAUGAAAGGACACAGUAAUCCAAUUUUUAACCUUAUACAAUGCUCAAACAGUCUACCAGAACAGUUUCACUUGAAUGCAACCAGAAGCUUCAAACCAGACCUUAAAGCCCGAUUCCAUCCAUUUUUCUAAACCUCAAAUGAACUAAAAAUGCUUCAGGAUUAGAAAAACUUCAAGAAGUAACCAAAGCAAGAGCAAUGGAACAAUGCUUUUUUUAGAAAUGUUCAGCCGCCUUCAUUUUUUCUGAUUUUCU
rnacentral:lncRNA from 1 species